rfam:Anolis carolinensis chromosome 2, whole genome shotgun sequence.
AAAGUUAAACCUAAUCACCCUAAAGGCACUAGAUUUCAUCUGAUCUUGGAAGUUAAGCAGGGUGAGUUCUGGUUAGUGCUUAAAUGGAAGACCACAAAUGAAUCCCAAGUGCUGAUGUUA